GGUAUAGCUAGCUCAGUGGUCGAGUCCUUGCCUAGCAUGUAUGAGGCCUUGGGUUCAAUACCCAGUACUG
rnacentral:tRNA from 1 species